CGAGUUUUAAUAAGAAACUAUCGAAAAGCGAUUCGCCCGUUGGUAACAACCAAGCCUUCGGAUGGUUUUCUUCAGCGCGACGAAAAUGAAAAGUACGUUUUUCGCUAGGUUAUAAGCGAAAGAAUUCUUGGCGAUGGGUGGAGGUUGGGAUUGGUACUGGGAUAAGAGAAGAAGAAGGAGAAGAAGAAGAAGGAGGAAGGAAGGAAGGAAGGAAGGAGAAAAAAACGGCUCGAUUUUCCGCGAGUUUUGCACCGGACAAAAGGAAGAAAAUGUGGCGGGGAAAGGACUCUGGUAGGAAGGGUGACUUCCGAUGGAGCUAACAGAGCAAAACGGAGCAUAACAGUGCAGAACUGAGAAGAGAAGAGAAGACAAGAGAAGAGGAGAGAAGAGAAGAGGAGAGAAGAGAAUAGCGAGGAAAUGAUUCGAGAAGACGUAGGAAGGAAGGAAGAAAGGAAGGAAGAUAGGUGAAAUAGAAAGAGAAGGAUGAGGAGGAUAAUGAUGAGGAGGAGGAUGAGGAGUAAUGGAAGAAGGAUCGAGAGAAACGUGGCAAGAAAUUCCAAAUAGUAGAAGUUUGGUAGUAUUGUUCGAUGUCACGCAGAUAAGUGAUUUAUUUGUACCGUGUAACUAUUCAAGAGGGUGAAGCGAAUCAUUGGAAAGAAUCGAAAUUAAAUGAGGUGGCAUUCGUUGAGGGAGAUUUAAACAAGUAUCUGGAUAUCCAAUUCGAUUGGAUACUUCUAGACUUCGGAUAUCCGAAGAUCCGAGCAAUAGUAAGUAAACCCAGAAGCUGUCCCGUGGCCAUAACAGACGUUCAGGAGGAAGUUUCUAACGCCAAACCGAUAUGGGU